rfam:Triticum aestivum genome assembly, contig: Triticum_aestivum_CS42_TGACv1_scaffold_408005_5BL
CUCAUACUCCCUCCGUUCGGAAUUACUUGUCUCGAAAAUCAAUGUAUCUAGAACUAAAAUAUGUCUAGAUACAUCCAUUUCUGCGACAAGUAAUUCCGAACGGAGGGAGUAUUAC